CCAGUUCUCGGUACAGUGCAGGGCACAUAGAAAAUGCCACUCAUCAUUUUUAUUAUUUCUCCCUGCUCAAUCGGAGUGUGUGACAUUAGAGAGCCAUAGAAGUCCAACCAGCCCACAGCACGCCACACAAGCUCACGUGGAUAGAUUCUCUCGUCAUCAGUAGUGUCAUCUCGAAAACCAAAGGCAACUAUAUACACGGUGUUUGGAUUAAAUAAAAGAGUGUACAACC